rnacentral:rRNA from 1 species
GUAGUCCACGCUGUAAACGAUGAGUGCUAGAUAUCGGGAGAAUCUCUCUCGGUUUCGUAGCUAACGCGUUAAGCACUCCGCCUGGGGAGUACGGUCGCAAGAUUAAAACUCAAAGGAAUUGACGGGGGCUCGCACAAGCGGUGGAGCAUGCGGUUUAAUUCGAUGUUACGCGAAAAACCUUACCAACCCUUGACAUGGUGGUCGCGGGAAGCAGAGAUGCAUCCCUUCGGUUCGGCCGGACCACACACAGGUGUUGCAUGGCUGUCGUCAGCUCGUGUCGUGAGAUGUUGGGUUAAGUCCCGCAACGAGCGCAACCCUUAUUCUUAUUUGCCAGCGGGUUAUGCCGGGAACUAUAAGGAAACUGCCGGUGAUAAGCCGGA